rnacentral:piRNA from 1 species
UAGCCUAUCAGGUUCAGUUUAAAUUGUA